UACGUAGGUGGCAAGCGUUGUUCGGAAUUAUUGGGCGUAAAGAGCUCGUAGGCGGUUUGUUGCGUCGGCUGUGAAAUCCCGAGGCUCAACCUCGGGUCUGCAGUCGAUACGAGCAAACUAGAGUGUUGCAGGGGAGACUGGAAUUCCUGGUGUAGCGGUGAAAUGCGCAGAUAUCAGGAGGAACACCGGUGGCGAAGGCGGGUCUCGUGGGCAACAACUGACGCUGGAGGAGCGAAAGCGUGGGGAGCGAACAGG
rnacentral:rRNA from 1 species